GUAGGUGGCAAGCGUUGUCCGGAAUUAUUGGGCGUAAAGCGCGCGCAGGCGGUUCGUUUAAGUCUGAUGUGAAAGCCCACGGGCUCAACCGUGGAGGGUCAUUGGAAACUGGAGAACUUGAGUACAGAAGAGGAAAGCGGAAUUCCACGUGUAGCGGUGAAAUGCGUAGAGAUGUGGAGGAACACCAGUGGCGAAGGCGGCUUUCUGGUCUGUAACUGACGCUGAGGCGCGAAAGCGUGGGGAGCAAACAGGAUUAGAUACCCUGGUAGUCCACGCCGUAAACGAUGAGUGCUAAGUGUUAGGGGGUUUCCGCCCCUUAGUGCUGCAGCUAACGCAUUAAGCACUCCGCCUGGGGGGUACGGCCGCAAAGGCUG
rnacentral:rRNA from 1 species